rnacentral:sRNA from 1 species
GCCAGGCAUGUUGGCGCAUGCCUGUAAUCCCAGUGGCUCGGGAGGCAGAGGCAGGAGGAUGAUGAGUUUAAAGUCAAUUUCAGCAACUUAGCGAGGCCCUAAGCAAUUUAGCAAAACCCUGUCUCAA